UGAGCCAGCGAGACGACGAACCCACCGGG
rnacentral:piRNA from 1 species